GCAUUGGUGGUUUAGUGGUAAAAUUAGCCGUUGCCAUCCAUAACAGGACUGUUUCGGCUAGCCCCGGGUUCGAUUCGAUUCCCGGCCGAUGCA